rnacentral:rRNA from 1 species
GAUGAACGCUGGCGGCGUGCCUAAUACAUGCAAGUCGAGCGAACAGAUAAGGAGCUUGCUUCUUUGACGUUAGCGGCGGACGGGUGAGUAACACGUGGGUAACCUACCUAUAAGACUGGGAUAACUUCGGGAAACCGGAGCUAAUACCGGAUAACAUUUGGAACAGCAUGGUUCUAAAGUGAAAGAUGGUUUUGCUAUCACUUAUAGAUGGACCCGCGCCGUAUUAGCUAGUUGGUAAGGUAACGGCUUACCAAGGCGGCGAUACGUAGCCGACCUGAGAGGGUGAACGGCCAAACUGGGACUGAGACCCGGUCCAGACUCCUAAGGGAGGCAGCAGUAGGGAAUCAUCGGCAAUGGGCGGAAGCCUGACGGAGCAACGGCGCGUGGGUGAUGAAGGGUUUCGGGUCGUAAAACUCUGUUAUUAGGGAAGAACAAACGUGUAAGUAACUGUGCACGUCUUGACGGUACCUAAUCAGAGAGCCACGGCUAACUACGUG